UCGCUACCCCCACGGCCAGUGACUGGCCCCAC
rnacentral:sRNA from 1 species